GCUUACGGCCGUACCACCCUGAGAACGCCCGAUCUCGUCUGAUCUCGGAAGCUAAGCAGGAUCGGGCCUGGUUAGCACUUGGAUGGGAGACCGCCUGGGAAUACCAGCUGCUGUAAGCU
rnacentral:rRNA from 1 species